AGCUCUUGGAUUGCAGCUUGGGAUCUGGGGCUGGCCUCACAACCGGCAGCAGGCACCCGAGUUAUAAUCUCGCCGCUAGGGGUUUGUGAAGGGUUUUGAGAUUGGACUGGAGUCCUCUCCUCCAAUUCAUACUCUCUUGGAUGCUUAUACCUUGAGCCGGGGACACAAACAUUGAUUGGAAGGUAUUGCUCAUUUUAGUGCUGAAUACGUACAUUUGCAUUACAAACUUCAAGACCCGAAGGUUUUACCACCUUUAUUAAGAGGCUUGUAGGGGUGUAUUUCCAUUUUGGUGGCGUAGGACGAGCGUAGAGCUUAGAGAUGAGUUCCUCUUCUUUUCACGAAGGGAGGAGGAACCCAUAUUGGUUUUUGGUUCUCUAGUUUACCUGCCCAUUGAUUCUCCUUUUCAAGUGCAUCUUCGGUAGCAGCUGGGGAAUUGAUUUUUGAGUCAAAGAUGGGGAUGGUUAAUAAUAAUGUGGACGAGUCGGCUAAGUGGGAUAAUCAAUUGUCAAAUGCUCACGAAGAGAAGAUCUUUGUCUCGAUUAGACUGAGGCCUUUGAAUGACAGAGAACUUGCAAAUGAAGAUGCUGCUGUUGGGAUGCAUCAACAGCACUACACUUCUGUACAAAAAUAGCCUACCAGAGCGUUCCGCGAUACCAACUGCCUAUAAUUUUGAUAGAGUAUUUGCAGGUGAUUGCUCCACGAUGCAAGUGUAUGAGGAGUCUGCUAAAAGAGUUGCGCUUUCUGUUGUGGGUGGCAUUAACUCAAGUAUAUUUGCCUAUGGCCAAACAAGUAGUGGAAAAACAUACACUAUGUGUGGGAUUACUGAGUACGCAAUAGCAGAUAUAUAUGACUACAUACAGAAGCAUCCCAACAGACAAUUUGUCUUGAAGUUCUCCGCAAUGGAGAUUUACAAUGAAGCCGUGAGAGAUCUGCUCAGCUCAGAUGCUACUCCCCUAAGACUCCUAGACGAUCCAGAUAGGGGAACCGUGGUUGAAAAAAUAACAGAUGUUGCAUUGAGGGAUUGGAGCCAUUUAAAGGAGCUCUUAUCUCUCUGUGCAGCUCAAAGAAAAAUUGGAGAGACUUCUCUGAAUGAAAUGAGUUCCAGGUCACAUCAGAUAUUGAGAUUGACAGUUGAUAGCUCUGCUCGAGAGUUCAGACGCACUGAAAAUUCCAGCACUCUAUCAGCUACAGUGAAUUUUGUAGAUCUUGCUGGAAGUGAACGUGCUUCUCAAACCUUAUCAGCUGGUACAAGACUAAAAGAAGGUUCCCACAUAAAUCGCAGUUUGCUGACCCUUGGAACUGUUAUUCGCAAGUUGAGCAAAGGUAGAAAUGCACACAUUCCAUACCGAGACUCCAAGCUAACACGAAUACUUCAGAACUCGUUGGGAGGCAAUGCAAGAACAGCCAUCAUUUGCACCCUGAGCCCUGCACACAGUCAUGUUGAGCAAUCAAGAAACAGUCUACUAUUUGCAAGUUGUGCCAAGCAAGUUAGCACCAACGCACAUGUCAAUGUAGUGAUGUCAGAGAAGGCAUUAGUGAAGCAAUUGCAGAGAGAAUUAGCUAGACUGGAGAGUCAAUUGAAGAAUAUAGGAUCACUUUCUAACUCAUGUGACUCUCUUGCAUUGAAAGAGAAGGAGCUUCUCAUUGCAAAGAUGGAUAAAGAGAUUAGAGAGCUAACUGAGCAACGUAAUGAAGCUCACUUUCGCCUUCAGAAUUUGAUGCAAUCAGCUGGAGAAUCUCAAGGUUCAAGACCAUGGGAUGCACUCAGUAGCAUGUCAGAACCUCAAGAGAAAGGCACAUGGCUUGAUGAAUAUCCAGCAUCAGAAGCAUCAGAGAUAAUUGAUCCUUUUCGCUUAGAUGUUGGUUCAAGCAUAUCUCAUUUUUAUGACAAAGGUGAAGGCCUGAGUUUUAACAAGUCCGAGGAACAAUUUGCUGAAUCUUCUGAAGAACAAUUUCUCUCUGAUGAUACCUCCCCAAGAAUGUUUAUAGAGAAGUACUUUGGUCCAGAUCCAACACAAGGUUGGGAGAAAAUUGCAGAAAGAAUUGACCUGAACAAUGAAGACAAUUGCAAGGAAGUUCAAUGCAUUGAAAUUGAUACAAGCAUCAGAAAGAUAAACUUUGACUCAGUGUCAUCCCCAGAAAAGGAGAAUCAGGGUUUGGAGAAUGUUAACCUGAGAAUGAUAAACUUUGACUCAGUGUCAUCCCCAGAAAAGGAGAAUCAGGGUUUGGAGAAUGUUAACCUGAGAAUGAUAAACUUUGACUCAGUCUCAUCCCCAGAAAAGGAGGAUCAGGGUUUGGAGAAUGUUAACAUGAGGAAGAUAAACUUUGACUCAGCGUCAUCCCCAGAAAAGGAGAAUCAGGGUUUGGUGAAUGUUAACAUAGACCAUGAUAACAGAACUCUGAAGCCAACAGUUGACGAGGUUAAGGAAAUUACAAUUUCUCCCAUUCAUUCCCAUCCAGUGGAACAGUAUUCUUCUUCAUCAGACUCAGAACUAAACGACUCGAGAAGCAUUGAGUCAUCAAGGAGCAGAAGUUGUAGCGAAGUCCUCACAACAAUGCCAUUUUCUCCCAGAUCGAAGAUGGAAAAAGAACAUGAAACACCAUCCAUUGAAUUUGAGGAGGACUCGAUUAGAAGUCUGGAACACAACAACCUGAAAUUCUCCGAGUCAGAAUCAGUUGCAGAUGGUAAAGAUCUAUGCAGAGAAUCAGUUGCAGAUGGUAAAGAUUUACACAGAGAGCAUUCCGAGGAAUAUUGUGAAAGUGACUCCACAGAUGCCAAGGAAGAAAGUAUGAAGGCAUUGGGACUUGCUGAUGAGGUGGUCAAGUCUAAGAAUCAGUUCGUGAAUGAGCAGAAAUCCCCUUCAGAUUGGUCCAUACAAUUCGAGAAGCAGAGAGCAGAGAUUAUUCAACUCUGGGAUGCUUGCGACAUACCAUUGGUCCACAGGACCUACUUUUUCCUGGUCUUUAAAGGAGAUCCAUCUGACUCUAUAUACAUGGAGGUAGAACUCCGCCGAUUGUCCUUUCUCAAGGUGUCUCAGCAGACUAAUACUGUGAAAAAUGGUCAAUCCUCGAGCACGAGAGCACUGAAACGCGAAAGAGAGAUGCUGAGCAGCUUAAUGCUUAAGAAGGUCUCAAACACGGAGAGAAUGGCCCUAUUCCAGAAGUGGGGUAUUGGAUUAAAAACAAAGAGAAGAAGGCUUCAGUUAUGCCAACGAUUAUGGACAGACACAAAAGACAUGGACCACAUCAAGGAAAGUGCUGCCCUGGUUGCAAAAUUGGUUGGCAUUGUGGAGCUGAGCCACGUCCAAAAGGAGUUUGUUGGACUCAGCUUCUCAACCCCACAGGUGAAUGUUAGGUCCUUCAGUUGGAAACACAGCAUGCCGUCUCUGGUGUAGCUGGAGGCAGUGCAGUACCUCAUCCAAAGAGAUGAAAGAAGAAAUCCAAUAAAAGAUAAAGAAAAAGAAGAAUGGUAUAUAGUUUUCCAUAGCUAACCUAACUGUUUUGUAUAUUGUUAACAUGUAUAGGAAUUCUGCUCAGGACCCAAAUUAUGUAAGAGAAGACUGAUUUGAAGUCUCAUUCAAAUUCAAUCAUUCUACUAUGGUCAUUGCUAUUCAGAAUCUUCAAAUAAAUUGGCAUUUUAUAAGCGACCAAGCCUAGAACAUAUAAACUGACAUCCGCAGCAAAUUGCAGUGAAUAAACAAUUAUUUGAAUAUGCAGUUGCUACGUGACUAGCAAAAACUUGACCCAUGCCAUCAUGGCUGCAAAAAUGAUGUAUUGUGGUAAACAGGAUAGCAAUUUUUCAAGGAUUUUCACAGAAAAACUCGAUCCCUCCCCUAGUCCCCUGUUCCUCACGGUUGCAAAAAUACUAUGUACUUACGUAAUGAAAAUAAAAAAUAAAUAGAAAAUAGAAAAAAAUCAAGAAUCAAGCAGCAAUAAAACUAUAAGUGCUUGUGAUGCGAUUGUGUCCAUUCUGGUUCUGGAUCGCGAUGACGAGUUCUCUGUUGUUGGCUUCUGGAGGCCGAGAGCUCCACUUCGGCUUCGCUAACUAAUCCAACACCUCCACCUGAAAAGCACGAAAGAUCAGAUAGUGAUCACAGGAAUGGGUUUGUCAAGUUUCAUACUCGCUAAUUUCCGGAAUUGGUUUGGUUAAGCCCAAACUUCGUUUACGGAUCCAUCAACUUAGUCCUCAUAAUAAUGUUUCAGAAGCAGUUAUCAGGGUUGCAGCAGAAUUGGUGAUUUGGGCAAAAGAGAGUUCCCCAGAAAAUUGGAAGAUAACCUCAAAAGUGCAAAUUUACAUACCCAUUUUAAAUGAACAAAUAACAUCCCCACCUUUUUUCACACGUGAUGUUUGACAACAUAACUAACAAAUGAACAAAAAGAAAAAAAAGAACGGGUUCAUCUUACAAACGAACAAAUGGAUUUAUUCCACAUGCUGUUCACGACGGAGAAGACAAGAAAGGAGAAAG